rnacentral:SRP_RNA from 2 species
GCCGGUGUGGUGGUGCACGCCUGUAAUCCCAGCUACUUGGGAGGCCGAGGCAGGAGAAUCGCUUGAACCUGGGAGGUGGAGGUUGCAGUGAGCCAAGAUCACAACACUGCACUCCAGCCCAGGUGACAGAGUGAGACUCUGUCUCAA